UCUUACGCAUAGCUAUUUUAUUACUCUGAUUGUUUAGAACAAAGAAACAUCGCUAUCAAUAGCUUCCAUCAACCAUGGAGUUACAAAUUCACAUACAUCGGAUACAAUUCCAUCAAAUUUACAUACAUGAAUCAAAAGAGAAUGAAAACAGAGGUGCAACAUCUAAAAUCACUAGUGCAUCAACUAAAUAUUCACAGCGUGAGACCUCUUUUCAUAAUGUUUGGUUACAGCUUAAGUUGCAAGCUUCUCUUCAAGGUUACCCUGCAGUGGACAUAAAUGAACUUGUACAAAAGUGCAAGUGUCUCGCAUAAAAAAAGGUGCAAGUGUCAACACUUUGAUACAAAAAGGUGACAACAAACAGGAACAAUAUCUAUAAGAUAUAAUAAGCAUAAUCGAUCUGAUAUCUCAGUUUCUCGCAAUAACAGUGGCAUAUAUACACAACUUGUUUUUGUCACAGCAAAGUUACCCAAUUUUACAGCUAUAUGGAAAAAAUAAUGGAGUAAUUUGUGAUAGAAUCAUAUCUCAGAUUUAUACAAACCAUGCAACUGAAAAAAUCCAUUCAAAUGACAACCUAACCACAUGCUUCUGGAUUAGGUAGAAAUAUUUAUCACCUAACAGUCUGGAUUGAUGAGAUAUUAGAGGCUUCUUGCAAGUCAGGCUCAAAUCACAGUACCAAUGUCAAUACUCUUAAGUGCAAGUGCUCAAUGAUGCAUCACCACAAAAUUGUAUAGUAAGAAAAUAACAAGGAGUUAAGUCUAACCAUUUCAGAUGUUUGAGAAAAAUGGGCAGAGUCAUCAUCAUCUCCAUAACAGUAAAAACCAAAGGAUUAUGCAAUUAUUCAAUAAUGUAACAGCAGGGAACAGUACCUCUUUAUUCAGAAGAAUAAGUAGAAUUUCUUGCCUUUAUUGAUAACCUUAACGUCCUGCUGCAGCCUCCUUGUUGUGCUGAUCCUAUUCCGUGUAAUUUCCAUGCAACGGAUCAUUGGUCCCUAAAUCAUAACAUAAUGAAAGAGAAUGAAACCAAAAGGAUCAUUGGUGAGACAAUAAUACAUUUUUACAGUACUGCAUGGUGAGACAAUAAAGGGUCCCAAAGAAAUAGAAAGGGGUAGUUUGCAGAUUAAACCAAUAUAGCAGCUACUGGCUCAAUAAUGUUGAUCUGAGGAUGUUGGGCACACUGAACACAGCACGGUAUGUUUUAAUAUACACAAGGCAACUUGAUUUGAUAAUUAUUAAUGAUACAAGUUUGGAGUCCAGGGUGAAAGCAAAAGUAAAAAUACCUUGAUUAGAACAAAAGCUCUUGCAUCUCUCGUAGAUCUCGAAUCUUGAAUUUUGCUCCUACUGAAGAUGGAUUGCAAACUAAAAAAAUCAGACCUCAAAUAGGUGUUGACCAAUAUUUAAUUUAUAGGUUGAUGUGCAUACAACAACAAAAUAUGGAAGGGAAUAGUACCACUUCAUUUGGAAGAAUAUUAUUCAAUUUCUUACAUUGAGUGAUAACGUGUGAUGUUUGUUCAAUUCUUAUUAAAUCAAAAAAUAAUGAAAGAGAUUAAAUCAAAGGGUAUGGACAAACAAAU
rnacentral:lncRNA from 1 species